UCGGGUUGUAAAGCACUUUUGUCCGGAAAGAAAACUUCGGGGCUAAUACCUCUGGAGGAUGACGGUACCGGAAGAAUAAGCACCGGCUAACUACGUGCCAGCAGCGCGGUAAUCGUAGGGUGCGAGCGUUAAUCGGAAUUACUGGGCGUAAAGCGUGCGCAGGCGGUCUGUUAAGACAGAUGUGAAAUCCCCGGGCUUAACCUGGGAACUGCAUUUGUGACUGGCAGGCUAGAGUAUGGCAGAGGGGGGUAGAAUUCCACGUGUAGCAGUGAAAUGCGUAGAGAUGUGGAGGAAUACCGAUGGCGAAGGCAGCCCCCUGGGCCAAUACUGACGCUCAUGCACGAAAGCGUGGGGAGCAAACAGGAUUAGAUACCCUGGUAGUCCACGCCCUAAACGAUGUCAACUAGUUGUUGGGGAUUCAUUUCCUUAGUAACGUAGCUAACGCGUGAAGUUGACCGCCUGGGGAGUACGGUCGCAAGAUUAAAACUCAAAGGAAUUGACGGGGACCCGCACAAGCGGUGGAUGAUGUGGGUUAAUUCGAUGCAACGCGAAAAACCUUACCUACCCUUGACAUGGUCGGAACCCUGGUG
rnacentral:rRNA from 1 species